UCUGCCCUAUAGCAUGCAUCUGUCUAUUGGAGCUGGUUAGUAUGUCUAGGUAAUCGAGUCAAACUUGGCUUUUUUUAAAUGUAGCACGUAGUAAAACUGCAUAAACCUAAUGUCAAGUUAAAGUGUAUUGUUAGCUAGCUAACGUUAGCUGGCUGGCUCGCUAGUUGCUAACGUUAUGUGUAUGCGCUCCACUUUCUGGAGGACCGAGUUUUGAAAUCAGUGGAAUUCGAGUAUGAUAGCUAAGGAGAUGGAGAAAACACCAGUCUGGAUUACAUCAUCAAACUAAGGGCAACCAUGCAUGGCAUCAGACAGGAGACGCGUCCAACCAUGAUGUAUACUGCAACUCUACUCCCACUUGUCUCCAAUUCCACAUCCUAACCCUCAGCUUCCCUCAGCCCCUCCCACCUAUCUCUGCUAGCCACCCUCUUCGGAUUUCUACGCAACAUAUAUCUUUCAACUAUGCUGUGAUGUUUAACGUACAAUUUCAAUCUUUCUAAUUGAAUAGAAUCCACAGAUUGCAAGUUGAAGAUUAAUACCUUUACUAAGGGUAUUAGUAUAUUAGUAAUUGAC
rnacentral:lncRNA from 1 species